CUUAGGAAAAAAUCGGAACAUUAUCAGGCGGAUGGAUUUGAGUUAAGGGGACCUUCCUCGAAAGCUCUCGAAACUUCCUUGCGGCGGCGGCGCUGAUUGGUGAGGCGGAUGAAGGCGAGGCCGGUGCUGAUUGGUGGGAGACGCGGCGGCUCCGUUGUUGCUGGGCUCCGUGCUGGGGUGGGUAAGCGCGGACGUUGCUAAGUAGCUCAGUGCGCGUGCGCCCCAGAGGCGCGCCUUCGCGAGAGAGGUGUACUUCCGGCCGGAGAGGGAGGAGGGGGUAAUCGACUCCCGCCUCCGAAGUCCCCCCGUCCCCGCACUAAAUGUUGGGUGUUCGGGCCUUAAGUGAGGAAAAAGCCUCCUCUGCGGUGACUUCCCCGGGAAGGCCGCCCCGGUUCCGGUUUGGGUGGCGCGGCCCGCGCUGGUUUCUGCCGGCGUCUGCCGGCGUCUGCAGCGGAAGCACAAACCCGCCCCCCACCCCCAGUCUUAACGCGAUCCCGCCCUGGUCGGUUUUAGUUUUGCGCUUGGUAAUGGCGGGGUUGAAGAGCUUUAAUUACACUUGUUUAUUGGAGUCAGAAUGCUUCUGUCCUUCUCGAUCCCCACAAGGGCUCCGAGGAGAGUCAGUCAUCUAGACUCUGGUGGUGGGAACCUCUGCGGGGCCCGGGCCUCCCAGCGCCUUCAGGCCCGGAGAGGCGAGGCCCCGGCUCCAGGUGACACGGGGGCGGGCUUAGGUCUGGCCCCCGCGAAACCCGCAGUCUCUUUCCCUUCUGUUUCACCAAACUCUGGUGGGGAAAAAGAGAGAUGCAAAUUAGGGAGCCGAAGACCCGCUUUGAGAGCUGACGAGGAAUUCGUGUCCAAGAAAGUAAUAGCUCUCCCAUUAAUGUGUGGUGUUCAAGCGACACUAAAGGCGGAGGUAGCCGGCUAAGGCCACUCUGGCUGGUUUCCCUCCACCCUGGGUGUGGCCCCGUGUCCCCCUAGGAGAUAACCCGAGGAGCGUGAGUAAGGCAGGGAGGGGCGUUGGGACCUCGGGGAUACGUGGCCCGGUGUCUGAGUCACAGAGACGGGGAUGUAAAUAAACACGCAAACGGCCGUUUGUGUCGUAAUAACCAAUCUCAGUAAGGAGUGGUCUAAAGAUUUGCACAUUAACACAAAUUAGCUAGAUAUCACUUAGAAAAGUCAUCAAAUCACAACAUUUCUAAGCAUAAUAUUAAAAAACUGUGUCGAUGACCUUGCACUAUAGACAGGUAUAUUGAGGAGUUAGCAGACACCUUGACAGUCUUGAGUGAACUAAAACUUGACUCACAAUGGAUCUGAACUUGUUUCAGCAACUAGCAUCUUCUCCUGAGUCAUACGUGUUGGUGGGGAGAAUAAACGAGAAUGGAGAUCACCUGACUGAUAGGAUGACUUAGUUCGGAGUUCCAGCAAUUGCCAGAACCAAAGAUUAUCUCCAUUUGACUUCGGCAGUGAACUUUGAUAUCACUUGAAGCUGGUUGAACUCUUAAACUCCAGGAUUCUUCACUCAGAGCCCGACCUGUCACCCUUCUAGCUUUCUUUCUACCUUGUUUCUACUACAUCUGCUGGGUAAACUUUCUAAGACCUCCAGUUCCCCAGUUUUCUGUUGUCUCCCCUCAACUGUUGGUUCUUUUCUUUAAUGGAUUGUGCUUUUCCUGCUAAGAACUCUUCAUCCAGCCCAAAGAUUUUCUCCUGUGUUGUCUCUACACCUAAACCUAAAAUCCAUAUCAAAUUAGUUACUUUUGUAUAAGGUGUCAAGUUUAAAUUGAGGUUGAUUUUUUUUUUUUUUUUUUUUUUUUGCUUUUGGAUGUCCCGUUGCUCCAGCACGGUGGAAACACUGUGCUUCCUCCACUGAAUUGCUUUAGCAUCAGUUUCAGAAAUCAAUUGGUUAGGUAUGUAUGGAUCUGUUUUAGUUAUUGUGGUCUUUUUAAGGGUUGCAUUUGCUUUUUCUUAAAAAAUAUUCUAUUUAUUUAUUUUGAGAGAGAGGGAGUGCGAGCAGGGAUGGGGCAAAGAGAAAGAGAGAAUCCCAAACAGGCUUUGCACUGCCAGCACGGAGCCCAAUGUGGAGGCCGAUCCCACAAAUCCAAGCUGAAAUUCAAGAGCCAGACAAAAUCAAUGACCCAAGACAAAAUCAAGAACCAGAUGUCCAACUGACUGAGCCACCCAGGCACCUCAAGGAUCCCAUUUUCUUUUUCUUUUUUUUUUUUAUUUUUUUAAUGUUUAUUCAUCUUUUUUGAAAGAGAGAG